GGAGUGGAGCCUGCGGCUUAAUUUGACUCAACACGGGAAACCUCACCCGGCCCGGACACGGACAGGAUUGACAGAUUGAUAGCUCUUUCUCGAUUCCGUGGGUGGUGGUGCAUGGCCGUUCUUAGUUGGUGGAGCGAUUUGUCUGGUUAAUUCCGAUAACGAACGAGACUCUGGCAUGCUACUAGUUACGCGACCCCCGAGCGGUCGGCGUCCCCCAACUUCUUAGAGGGACAAGUGGCGUUCAGCCACCCGAGAUUGAGCAAUAACAGGUCUGUGAUGCCCUUAAAUGUCCGGGGCUGCACGCGCGCUACACUGACUGGCUCACGUGUGCCUACCCUACGCCGGCAGGCGCGGGUAACCCGUGAACCCAUUCGUGAUGGGGAUCGGGGAUUGCAAUUAUUCCCCAUGAACGAGGAUUCCCAGUAGUGCGGGUCAUAAGCUUGCGUN
rnacentral:ncRNA from 1 species